rnacentral:rRNA from 1 species
UACGUAGGGUGCAAGCGUUGUCCGGAAUUAUUGGGCGUAAAGAGCUCGUAGGCGGUCUGUCGCGUCGGAUGUGAAAACCCAGGGCUCAACCCUGGGCCUGCAUUCGAUACGGGCAGACUAGAGUUCGGUAGGGGAGACUGGAAUUCCUGGUGUAGCGGUGAAAUGCGCAGAUAUCAGGAGGAACACCGGUGGCGAAGGCGGGUCGUCUGGGCCGAAACUGACGCUGAGGAGCGAAAGCGUGGGGAGCAAACAGG